CAUGCCGCGUGCAGGAAGACGGCCCUAUGGGUUGUAAACUGCUUUUACAGAGGAAGAACCCUCCUUACGUGUAAGGAGCUGACGGUACUCUAUGAAUAAGGAUCGGCUAACUCCGUGCCAGCAGCCGCGGUAAUACGGAGGAUCCAAGCGUUAUCCGGAAUCAUUGGGUUUAAAGGGUCCGUAGGCGGGUCUAUAAGUCAGUGGUGAAAGUCUGCAGCUUAACUGUAGAACUGCCAUUGAUACUGUAGACCUUGAAUUAGUAUGAAGUGGUUAGAAUGUGUAGUGUAGCGGUGAAAUGCAUAGAUAUUACACAGAAUACCGAUUGCGAAGGCAGAUCACUAAUACUAUAUUGACGCUGAUGGACGAAAGCGUAGGUAGCGAACAGGAUUAGAUACCCUGGUAGUCUACGCCGUAAACGAUGGUUACUAGCUGUCCGGCCUAAUUGAGGGCUGGGUGGUUAAGCGAAAGUGAUAAGUAACCCACCUGGGGAGUACGUUCGCAAGAAUGAAACUCAAAGGAAUUGACGGGGGCCCGCACAAGCGGUGGAGCAUGUGGUUUAAUUCGAUGAUACGCGAGGAACCUUACCAGGGCUUAAAUGCAGUCUGACGUAUCUGGAAACAGAUAUUUCUUCGGACAGAUUGCAAGGUGCUGCAUGGUUGUCGUCAGCUCGUGCCGUGAGGUGUCAGGUUAAGUCCUAUAACGAGCGCAACCCCUGUGGUUAGUUGCCAGCGAGUAAUGUCGGGAACUCUAGCCAGACUGCCGGUGCAAACCGUGAGGAAG
rnacentral:rRNA from 1 species